rnacentral:rRNA from 1 species
GCUGGCGGCAGGCCUAACACAUGCAAGUCGAGCGGAUGAAGAGAGCUUGCUCUCUGAUUCAGCGGCGGACGGGUGAGUAAUGCCUAGGAAUCUGCCUGAUAGUGGGGGACAACGUUUCGAAAGGAACGCUAAUACCGCAUACGUCCUACGGGAGAAAGCAGGGGACCUUCGGGCCUUGCGCUAUCAGAUGAGCCUAGGUCGGAUUAGCUAGUUGGUGAGGUAAUGGCUCACCAAGGCGACGAUCCGUAACUGGUCUGAGAGGAUGAUCAGUCACACUGGAACUGAGACACGGUCCAGACUCCUACGGGAGGCAGCAGUGGGGAAUAUUGGACAAUGGGCGAAAGCCUGAUCCAGCCAUGCCGCGUGUGUGAAGAAGGUCUUCGGAUUGUAAAGCACUUUAAGUUGGGAGGAAGGGCAUUAACCUAAUACGUUAGUGUUUUGACGUUACCGACAGAAUAAGCACCGGCUAACUUCGUGCCAUCAGCCGCGGUAAUACGAAGGGUGCAAGCGUUAAUCGGAAUUACUGGGCGUAAAGCGCGCGUAGGUGGUUUGUUAAGUUGAAUGUGAAAGCCCCGGGCUCAACCUGGGAACUGCAUCCAAAACUGGCAAGCUAGAGUAUGGCAGAGGGUGGUGGAAUUUCCUGUGUAGCGGUGAAAUGCGUAGAUAUAGGAAGGAACACCAGUGGCGAAGGCGACCACCUGGGCUAAUACUGACACUGAGGUGCGAAAGCGUGGGGAGCAAACAGGAUUAGAUACCCUGGUAGUCCACGCCGUCAACGAUGUCGACUAGCCGUUGGGAUCCUGAGAUCUUAGUGGCGCACCUAACGCAUUAAGUCGACCGCCUGGGGAGUACGGCCGCAAGGUUAAAACUCAAAUGAAUUGACGGGGGCCCGCACAAGCGGUGGAGCAUGUGGUUUAAUUCG